GACGAACGCUGGCGGCGUGCUUAACACAUGCAAGUCGAACGGAAAGGCCCUGCUUUUGUGGGGUGCUCGAGUGGCGAACGGGUGAGUAACACGUGAGUAACCUGCCCUUGACUUUGGGAUAACUUCAGGAAACUGGGGCUAAUACCGGAUAGGAGCUCCUGCUGCAUGGGGGGGGUUGGAAAGUUUCGGCGGUUGGGGAUGGACUCGCGGCUUAUCAGCUUGUUGGUGGGGUAGUGGCUUACCAAGGCUUUGACGGGUAGCCGGCCUGAGAGGGUGACCGGCCACCUUGGGCCUGAGAUACGGCCCAGACUCCUACGGGAGGCAGCAGUGGGGAAUAUUGCACAAUGGGCGGAAGCCUGAUGCAGCAACGCCGCGUGCGGGAUGACGGCCUUCGGGUUGUAAACCGCUUUCGCCUGUGACGAAGCGUGAGUGACGGUAAUGGGUAAAGAAGCACCGGCUAACUACGUG
rnacentral:rRNA from 1 species